GGAAUAGCAUAACUACAGAGCCAACAAUUUGCCCUCUUCUCUCGAACUGUGACUUUGGAUACGUGAAAGACAACAGAAAUGAUCCGAUAAUCACCCAAAUAAAUACAUCAAAUCCUUCACAGUCAAAUCCACUUCAAAGCUCUGAAAGUAUUUACUAAUAACACGACGUGUAGCAGCUGUAAUCUGAGAUCGAAAUUCUAGGGUUCUUCAACCUCUAAAUCAUCGAUUGGAGAUGGUGGUUGUAUAGAAGAGGAGAGAAAGGUGCUGCUAGAAAUCAAAACUUCCCUUAUUGAUUCAAACUUUCUCGAUUUGAACGGAUUUCUCUUGAGUUGGGUUGAUGAUGGCAGUAUCGGUGGCGAGUGUUGUGAUUGGGAGAGGGUCACGUGCAACACAACCACUGGACAUGUAACAAACCUGACUUUGAGAAACAUGGUGGGGCUUCCAGAGCAAUUUUAUGAAGACUGCAAGAGUAUUUGGCCAUUAAAUGUUUCUGUGUUUCUUAAUUUUAAAGAGUUAACAAGUCUCAAUUUGUCAUGGAAUUGCCUUGAUAACAAUAUUGUGAACACAGGACUUGGAAGGUUGUCGAGUUUGAGGAAGCUAGAGACACUGGAUCUUAGCCAUAAUAGCAUUGGAAAUGAGACCUUUCACUUAUUGGGUGCUCUGACUUCACUCAGAGUUUUGAAUCUUGGUUACAAUAAGUUGGAAGGAUACUUGCCUACCCUUGGCAUGUCUUUGGUCCUUCUUAAUUAAUAUUUGCAAUAACUUGCAUGUUCUAAUUAUAUGUUUAAAAUACAUGUAUUUUGAACAAAUUGCAGCUUUGGAAAACUUGGAGAUAUUAGAUCUUUCUAGAAACUAUGAUAUGAAAGGUAAUGAAUAUGAUGU